GUGAGGAAUAUUGGACAAUGGGCGCAAGCCUGAUCCAGCCAUGCCGCGUGCAGGAAGACGCAUCUAUGGUGUGUAAACUGCUUUUGUACGGGAAGAAACACUCCCUCGUGAGGGAGCUUGACGGUACCGUAAGAAUAAGGAUCGGCUAACUCCGUGCCAGCAGCCGCGGUAAUACGGAGGAUCCAAGCGUUAUCCGGAAUCAUUGGGUUUAAAGGGUACGUAGGCGGUUUAAUAAGUCAGUGGUGAAAGCCCAUCGCUCAACGAUGGAACGGCCAUUGAUACUGUUAGACUUGAAUUACAAGGAAGUAACUAGAAUAUGUAGUGUAGCGGUGAAAUGCUUAGAUAUUACAUGGAAUACCAAUUGCGAAGGCAGGUUACUACUUGUGGAUUGACGCUGAUGGACGAAAGCGUGGGGAGCGAACAGGAUUAGAAACCCUAGUAGUCC
rnacentral:rRNA from 1 species